GUUAGAAAUGCAGUGUAGACCCUUGACCUUAUACCAGCAAUAUCAGCUCUUUCUGAAGGACCUCCUUUACACAACGUCGUCAGCACAAAGUGAUGAUCCAGCCUGCUUUUUUUUUCUCAGUGAAAGAGAUAGAAAGGAGAGAGAGAGAGAGAGAAAGUUGAUCUUUCUAAAUGGUUAUGACUCAAAACUGUAACUGAAAUGAAACAGAGCUACAAUUCCCAUCACCUGAAGAACAAAAAGCAGAAGAAGAAAGAAGAAAAACUCACUUGUAAAACAAACUAAUGAGAAAGCUUUUGUGGAUUAGGCACAGUGGUCAAAGGAAUGGAGUUACGUGGUAAACAGACAUUAAAGACUUGUGGUCUUACAAAGCACCUCGUAUUUUAAAAUAAUUUAAUGAACAACAGGUAGCUAAGACUUUGAAAGCAUGAUCCUGUAAGUUUUUAUGCAUGUCCUUAAGUGUGCAUGUCAGAGUAACACCAUGAGAUUCACUAGGAGGGUUCAAUGUGCACACACUGGACACAGUGAUUCAGCCCUGAACCCUCAUCCUACUUUCUGUUAGAUGCUUUCCAUGAACUUUGUGUCUCUUUUCUUCCUGGCCAAAUAGCUGCAUCUCUCUCUCAUGAUUCCUUCAGAGUGUUAGGGAUCAGGACGAAAUGAACAGUCACCUAUAGCGCUGUUUAUGAAACAGCAGCUCAAGAUAUCAUCGUACAGGGUGCAAGUCAUUUCCUGUUUCCCUGCCUUUCAGUGCAAGUCCUUUGGCAGAUAGGAAAGACAGUAUAUGUCUGACUAUCAGAGAUUCAAGCCAAAAUAUUUGUUCAUGAAGUAAUUGAAUGACUGGAAGACAAAGAUAAUUUUCUUAUUAAUACUAACAGUUUAGCUCAAAGUACUUGCACAUCUCCAGUAUGCACUCAGUUUAUUGAAUUUUUUUUUUUAUUCUUUCUGACAUGUGGUUAUUUAAUCUUCUGCCAACACCAUCUACCAAACAGAUUCUUCCCUGCUAUGCCCAUGAAGCUUUUGUACUAUUGAUGUUUUCACAGUGAACAGUGUAUGUGUGUCAAAUUAUAGGUAUUGAUCUUUGUUUGUUUCCUAAUAUGUGUAGUUGUUUAGAUAGCAUUAUAGUUUGUCUGAUUGUGGUUAUAUAAAUAAAAGAAGGAGA
rnacentral:lncRNA from 1 species